rnacentral:snRNA from 1 species
AUUGCUUCUCGGCCUUUUGGCUAAGAUCAAGUGUAGUAUAUGAUUAUGAAUAAACAAGACAAUUACCAACUCCCC